AAAAAAUGGUAUUAAAACCUCAAAUGCUGAAAAUUGGUAAAAUUAUUGUAAUUACCUCUAAAUUUGGGUUUUAGAUUUCCUUGUUCAAUUGCGUUGAGAGCUGGAAGUCCAAGAGUGAUUGCAAACUUGGUUCCUAUAAAUGUUAAUUGAAAUAUAAUCAUGCUCAAAAAAUUUAUUAAUUAAUAAGCUGUUUGAACUAUAAUACAUUGUAAUAAAGUGUUUUUCUCACCAGUUCAACUAUCCAUUGUAAGCCUUUGAACUGGUUCAAAAGAGGCUUUAAGUCACGAAUUGGUACGAUGUUC
rnacentral:lncRNA from 1 species